GUGUGUGUAUAGUGUGUGUGUGUAUAGUGUGUAUAGUGUGUGUUGUGUGUGUAUAGUGUGUGUAUAGUGUGUAUAGUGUGUGUAUAGUGUGUGUGUAUAGUGUGUGUGUAUAGUGUGUGUGUGUGUGUGUAUAGUGUGUAUAGAGUGUGUAUAGUGUGUGUGUAUAGUGUGUGUAUAGUGUGUGUGUGUGUAUAGUGUGUGUAUAGUGUGUAUAGUGUGUGUAUAGUGUGUGUGUAUAGUGUGUAUAGUGUGUGUGUAUAGUGUGUAUAGUGUGUGUGUGUAUAGUGUGUGUAUAGUGUGUGUAUAGUGUGUGUGUAUAGUGUGUAUAGUGUGUGUAUAGUGUGUGUAUAGUGUGUGUGUAUAGUGUGUAUAGUGUGUAUAGUGUGUGUGUGUAUAGUGUGUAUAGUCUGUGUAUAGUGUGUAUAGUGUGUGUGUAUAGUGUGUAUAGUGUGUGUGUGUAUAGUGUGUGUAUAGUGUGUAUAGUGUGUGUGUAUAGUGUGUGUGUGUAUAGUGUGUGUAUAGUGUGUGUGUAUAGUGUGUAUAGUGUGUAUAGUGUGUGUAUAGUGUGUGUAUAGUGUGUGUGUAUAGUGUGUAUAGUGUGUGUUGUGUGUGUAUAGUGUGUGUAUAGUGUGUGUAUAGUGUGUGUAUAGUGUGUGUGUAUAGUGUGUAUAGUGUGUAUAGUGAGGUCAGUGGUUGAGCUGGCAGA